GACGAACGCUGGCGGCGUGCUUAACACAUGCAAGUCGAACGGAAAGGCCCUGCUUUUGUGGGGUGCUCGAGUGGCGAACGGGUGAGUAACACGUGAGUAACCUGCCCUUGACUUUGGGAUAACUUCAGGAAACUGGGGCUAAUACCGGAUAGGAGCUCCUGCUGCAUGGUGGGGGUUGGUAAGUUUCGGCGGUUGGGGAUGGACUCGCGGCUUAUCAGCUUGUUGGUGGGGUAGUGGCUUACCAAGGCUUUGAAGGGUAGCCGGCCUGAGAGGGUGACCGGAGAAAUAGGGACUGAGAGAAGGACCAGAGUACAACGGGAGGAAGCAGGGGGGAAUAUUGCAGAAUGGGAGGAAGCCUGAAGGAGAAAAGCAGCGUGCGGGAUGACGGCCUUCGGGUUGUAAACAGAUUUAGAAUGUGAAGAAGAGUGAGUGACGGUAAUGGGUAAAGAAGCACCGGCUAACUACGUG
rnacentral:rRNA from 1 species